GUUUCGGUACACUCUGCGGUAGAGCAUGCGAUUGCAGUUGAUAAAAUAUCGCAGAGUCCGGUGUUCGAUCCAUUGUCGGGACU